GAUAAAUCUUAUUCUAUCUGUUCUUAAUGAGUUUUAGAUAAUUUUAGUUGUAUUUCUUUGUAAUUUUGUGUUGUACAAAGAUUAAUUUAACAUUUUCUCUGGAAGUAUUAAUUUAGAAAGAUAAUAUGCUUCAUUGGUGUUGUGUUUUGAAGUGUGAAAUGUGAUAAGUCAAGAUAAAGUUCACUUUUAAACUGAACUAAAUAAGGUAUCUGAGAGACAACAAUGGUUAAAUGCAAUACAAUGUACAGGUUUUACUAGCGAAAUGAAAAUUUUCCUGUCCUGUCUGCUGUAAUCAUUUUAUAUCUGGUAAGUUACAAUUACAACAGUAACGAUUUUUGAAGAUGUUAACAUUUUAAUCUUAUAGGAAAACCAGCCGACUUAAUAGAUAAUAACAAUCUCCAGAUUGGGUUCCUUCAAUAAAUAUGGUCUAUAAACACAAUGAAAUAAGUUCCCCAAAAUCUAAAAUGGAGUGGUAUCAAAGGAGAAUUAAAGGGAAAAAUAUUCAUAUUGAAAUUAUUUAUAAGGCACUGGACUGUCUUAAAUUCUACAAUAAUACUAGAAUCAGCUGAGAGAAGUGGUCUACAAAAAAACCAGGAAGGAAACGGAAUAUGUGGCUACGAAAGGCAAAAGAAAGGUUUACAAAGCAAAUGUGACACAUUUUUUUGAAAUAUUUAGGAAUAUCAGUAAAUUGCAUUAAAAAAAUGUAUGAAAAGAUUUUGUUCAAUAAAAAUGUUUAUAUUUA